UUGCGAUGAUUUUGUUUUUCCAGGACAGGAACGAGAAAGUUUGAUAUGUGAAGCCCUCCCGAACAUUCCUAAGGAGUGGACAUUGAAAUGUUUGGUGGAGGUAACUGUCCUGAAGUCCACAUCCGCAGAUAUUGGA